rnacentral:rRNA from 1 species
GCGGACGGGUGAGUAACGCGUGGGUAACCUGCCUUAUACAGGGGGAUAACAGUUAGAAAUGACUGCUAAUACCGCAUAAGCGCACAGGAUUGCAUGAUCCGGUGUGAAAAACUCCGGUGGUAUAAGAUGGACCCGCGUCUGAUUAGCUUGUUGGUGAGGUAACGGCCCACCAAGGCGACGAUCAGUAGCCGACCUGAGAGGGUGACCGGCCACAUUGGGACUGAGACACGGCCCAAACUCCUACGGGAGGCAGCAUG